rnacentral:rRNA from 1 species
CAGAGGUGCAAGCGUUAAUCGGAAUUACUGGGCGUAAGCGCGCGUAGGUGGUUGUUAAGUUGGAUGUGAAAUCCCCGGGCGUCAACCUGGGAACGUGCAUUCAAACUAGACUGACUAGAGUAUGGUAGAGGUGGUGGAAUUUCCUGUGUAGCGGUGAAAUGCGUAGAUAUAGGAAGGAACACCAGUGGCGAAGGCGACCACCUGGACUAAUACUGACACUGAGGUGCGAAAGCGUGGGAGCAAACAGGAUU